AGUCAUAUGCUUGUCUCAAAGAUUAAGCCAUGCAUGUCUCAGUACAAGCCAAAUUAAGGUGAAACCGCGAAAGGCUCAUUAAAUCAGUUAUGGUUCCUUAGAUCGUACCCACAUUUACUUGGAUAACUGUGGUAAUUCUAGAGCUAAUACAUGCUUACAGAACUCUGACCGGAGACGGAAAGAGUGCUUUUAUUAGAUCAAAACCAAUCGGUGGCGGGUUCGCUCGUCAUCGUACAUCUUGGUGACUCUGAAUAACUUUUGCUGAUCGCACGGUCUCGCACCGGCGACGCAUCUUUCAAAUGUCUGCCUUAUCAACUGUCGAUGGUAGGUUCUGCGCCUACCAUGGUUGUAACGGGUAACGGGGAAUCAGGGUUCGAUUCCGGAGAGGGAGCCUGAGAAACGGCUACCACAUCCAAGGAAGGCAGCAGGCGCGCAAAUUACCCACUCCCGGCACGGGGAGGUAGUGACGAAAAAUAACGAUACGGGACUCAUCCGAGGCCCCGUAAUCGGAAUGAGUACACUCUAAACCUUUUAACAAGGAUCAAUUGGAGGGAAAGUCUGGUGCCAGCAGCCGCGGUAAUUCCAGCUCCAAUAGCGUAU
rnacentral:rRNA from 1 species